rnacentral:rRNA from 1 species
AGUAUAGGAGAUAGAAAACACACUUAGGCGCUAUAGAGACAGUACCGUAAGGGAAAGAUGAAAGAAUCCACUAAAGUACAAAAAAGCAAAGAUUACAACUUAUACCUUUCGCAUAAUGAUUCAACCAGAACAACUUCACAAAGAGAACUUCAGCCAAACACCCCGAAACCAGACGAGCUACUUAUGAGCAGUAAAAGAACGAACUCGUCUAUGUAGCAAAAUAGUGAGAAGACUCAUAAGUAGAGGUGAAAAGCCUAACGAGCCUGGUGAUAGCUGGUUGUCCAGACCAGAAUAUUAGUUCAACUUUAAACUUACCUAAAGAACCAAUAAUCCUACUGUAAGUUUAAAUGUUAAUUCAUAGAGGUACAGCUCAAUGAAUAAGGAUACAACCUUUAAUAGAGAGUAACAAAACCUUACAACCAUUGUAGACCUAAAAGCAGCCAUCAAUUAAGAAAGCGUUAUAGCUCAACACAAAUCAAACCCCCUAUUCCAAACACCCUUAACUAACUCCUAUUAAUCUCACUGGACAAAUCUAUUUACUAAUAGAAGAAAUAAUGUUGAUAUGAGUAACAAGAAUCACACUUCUCCUAGCACAAACCUAUAUCAGAUCGGAUGCCCACUGAUAAUUAAACAACAGAUACCCCUAACCACCUUCCAAAUCAAACAUCAAAACAUCUGUUAACCCGACACAGGAGUGCAUACAAAAGGAAAGAUUAAAAUAAGUAAAAGGAACUCGGCAAAAACAAACCCCGCCUGUUUACCAAAAACAUCACCUCUAGCAUAAAAAGUAUUAGAGGCACUGCCUGCCCAGUGACUUAAGUUUAACGGCCGCGGUAUCCUGACCGUGCAAAGGUAGCACAAUCACUUGUUCUUUAAUUAAGGACUCGAAUGAAUGGCCACACGAGGGUUCAACUGUCUCUUACUUACAAUCAGUGAAAUUGACCUCUUCGUGAAGAGGCGAAGAUGAAUUAGCAAGACGAGAAGACCCUAUGGAGCUUAAAUUUACCACCCAACUUGCACCCUACACCCCCAAACAGGUUUCCAACACUCGCACUUAUGGGUAUACAAUUUUGGUUGGGGUGACCUCGGAGCACAAAACAACCUCCGAACUAUAAAUACCUAGACACAACCAGUCAAAGCCCCUUACAAACAUAUUGACCCAAAAAAUUGAUCAACGGAACAAGUUACCCUAGGGAUAACAGCGCAAUCCUGUUCAAGAGUCCAUAUCGACAACAGGGUUUACGACCUCGAUGUUGGAUCAGGACAUCCAAAUGGUGUAACCGCUAUUAAUGGUUCGUUUGUUCAACGAUUAAAGUCCUACGUGAUCUGAGUUCAGACCGGAGAAAUCCAGGUCGGUUUCUAUCUACUUCACAUUCCUCCCAGUACGAAAGGACAAGAGUAAUAGAGCCAAUUGCACAACAAAGCUCUCAAUUAAAUAGAUGAUUUCAUCUUAAUCUAGCACCCCUCCCC